CGGUUUUUAAACAAACUGCUGAUGACAAAAUGACAUAUUUAUUUCUGAACGAAAAUCUGUCUGUGGAUGGCCGAAUUUUGUUUACUUUGAAUGAAUUGAAUGUUGGGAUCGAAGGUGGAUUAAAUACAAAUAGUUAUUUAGAGAUGAAUCAAUUAAACAUGCACGGUAAUGUGUCAGCAAACCCCGCAGUGGGUGCAGCACCGAACGUGGGUAUGCACAUACCGCCGGCUGGCACGGUGAUGCAGCAACCGUCUCCACAGCAGAUGCAGCCGGGACCCGGUCCAGGGGGGCCGGGCCCGGGGCCUGCCAUGCCGCAGCAAGACAAGAUGGACAACAUCUCCAAAGUCAAGACAUUGAUGGGAUCCAUAAGAGAAGCCAUACCGACUACCCUGAAGUCAGCUGCUCAAAUUCUACACCAAAAUCACACUACUGACUCAAAUUCACAAAAGGGUGUCACAGACACUCCGGUGUUGAGAUUCGACAAAAAUCUAGAAGAAUUAUAUUCCCUGUGUGAUCAAAUGGAACUUCAUUUGCGUACAGCAGUGACAUGCAUCCAGCAAGCACAAUCUGCAUCACAUUAUCUUCCACUGACCGUGAUUCCCUCUAGACUUGACUCUGGAAGCAGUCAGGAGACGACACUGAGCUACCCCGCUUACCUAAACACGGUGCGGUUGCAAAUCUCAUAUGCGAAGGACAUCCACGACCUGCUGGUGGCCGCUGCACAGAACAUCGCGCCGACUGAAUGACGCGACGCUAUGCCGGCCAGCGAGGACGAAUGACCCGAUACCGAAGAACUCGAACAGAAAAUACGAUCAGUUUCCAAAAAAACAAAAUUUAAAAAUUACAACAGAAAUAC
rnacentral:misc_RNA from 1 species